GACGAACGCUGGCGGCGUGCCUAAUACAUGCAAGUAGGACGCACAGUUUAUACCGUAGCUUGCUACACCAUAGACUGUGAGUUGCGAACGGGUGAGUAACGCGUAGGUAACCUGCCUAUUAGAGGGGGAUAACUAUUGGAAACGAUAGCUAAUACCGCAUAACAGUAUGUAACACAUGUUAGAUGCUUGAAAGAUGCAAUUGCAUCGCUAGUAGAUGGACCUGCGUUGUAUUAGCUAGUAGGUAGGGUAAAGGCCUACCUAGGCAACGAUACAUAGCCGACCUGAGAGGGUGAUCGGCCACACUGGGACUGAGACACGGCCCAGACUCCUACGGGAGGCAGCAGUAGGGAAUCUUCGGCAAUGGGGGGAACCCUGACCGAGCAACGCCGCGUGAGUGAAGAAGGUUUUCGGAUCGUAAAGCUCUGUUGUUAAGGAAGAACGAGUGUGAGAAUGGAAAGUUCAUACUGUGACGGUACUUAACCAGAAAGGGACGGCUAACUACGUGCCAGCAGCCGCGGUAAUACGUAGGUCCCGAGCGUUGUCCGGAUUUAUUGGGCGUAAAGCGAGCGCAGGCGGUUAGAAAAGUCUGAAGUGAAAGGCAGUGGCUCAACCAUUGUAGGCUUUGGAAACUGUUUAACUUGAGUGCAGAAGGGGAGAGUGGAAUUCCAUGUGUAGCGGUGAAAUGCGUAGAUAUAUGGAGGAACACCGGUGGCGAAAGCGGCUCUCUGGUCUGUAACUGACGCUGAGGCUCGAAAGCGUGGGGAGCGAACAGGAUUAGAUACCCUGGUAGUCCACGCCGUAAACGAUGAGUGCUAGGUGUUAGGUCCUUUCCGGGACUUAGUGCCGCAGCUAACGCAUUAAGCACUCCGCCUGGGGAGUACGACCGCAAGGUUGAAACUCAAAGGAAUUGGCGGGGGCCCGCACAAGCGGUGGAGCAUGUGGUUUAAUUCGAAGCAACGCGAAGAACCUUACCAGGUCUUGACAUCCCGAUGCUAUUUCUAGAGAUAGGAAGUUCCUUCCGAACAUC
rnacentral:rRNA from 1 species